UACGUAGGGUCCGAGCGUUGUCCGGAAUUACUGGGCGUAAAGAGCUCGUAGGUGGUUUGUCGCGUUGUCCGUGAAAACUCACAGCUCAACUGUGGGCGUGCGGGCGAUACGGGCAGACUGGAGUACUGCAGGGGAGACUGGAAUUCCUGGUGUAGCGGUGGAAUGCGCAGAUAUCAGGAGGAACACCGGUGGCGAAGGCGGGGUCUCUGGGGCCGAUACUGACGUGAGGAGCGAAAGCGUGGGGGAGCGAACAGG
rnacentral:rRNA from 1 species